GAAAAGGGGGCUAGCAAAGUUGUUUAGAGCUAAAAAUUUGUUUAGAAGUUGAUAAAAUCCUUUAUAGAUUUCAAAGAAAAAGAGUUUUAUGUGCAAAGUAUUCUUGAGAUCUUUUGGUGAGAGAUGAGAGUUGGGUUUGACAUUGGGAAGUGAUUGUGUAACUUGUAUGUUUGGGAAAAGGGUAGAACAAUGGAGAUUGAGCAUUGUAUGCAUGAGUUGGUCCCUUUCUUAGAUAUAUUAUGUGCAAUGUCAAGGCUACUUAUUUUGAGAGUAAACCACUUUAAAAGAUCAUGGAUUUUGAACCUCUUGACCCACUUGAAUAAAAGCCUUCCCUCACUCAACCAAAUGAUUUGGUCCAAUUGACCAUUUGCAAGAAUUCACUUGAUGCUAUACUUAAUGAACUUGAGAGUUAGCUGAUUUGCAUGUGUGAAUGCAUGAUGAUGAGUGUAGGGAUGAAAAGAGUUAAGAUAGGCCUAGAGAAGCUAGAGUAUAAUAAGAGAGGGUGUACUAAUGCUGAAUUUAGAUGUUGAUUUGAGUGCUUUGUGUGUUUCUUUUGGCUAUGAGCUCCUACCUUCAAACCUCUCUCCGUAUGAGUUCUAGAAAGUUCACUUGAGGACAAGUAAAAGAAUAAGUUGGGGGGAGUUGAUAUCUUGCAUAUUUACAUUGUUUUAUCCAUUUAUUCAUGUGCAUUUUCAUCAUAUAGAUUAGGAUUUAGCCAUAUCUAGGUUGCAUUUUUGCAUACAUAUGUCUCUAUUAGGUAUUGGAGUACCACAUGGAGUUCCUCGAGACAUUUGGAUGCAUUUGGAGCUCAAAGGAGGUGAUUAGAGUGAUCUUUGGAUGAGCACU
rnacentral:lncRNA from 1 species